AGUGAACGCUGGCGGUAGGCCUAACACAUGCAAGUCGAACGGCAGCACAAGAGAGCUUGCUCUCUGGGUGGCGAGUGGCGGACGGGUGAGGAAUACAUCGGAAUCUACUCUGUCGUGAGGGAUAACGUAGGGAAACUUACGCUAAUACCGCAUACGACCUACGGGUGAAAGCAGGGGACCUUCGGGCCUUGCGCGAUUGAAUGAGCCGAUGUCGGAUUAGCUAGUUGGCGGGGUAAAGGCCCACCAAGGCGACGAUCCGUAGCUGGUCUGAGAGGAUGAUCAGCCACACUGGAACUGAGACACGGUCCAGACUCCUACGGGAGGCAGCAGUGGGGAAUAUUGGACAAUGGGCGCAAGCCUGAUCCAGCCAUACCGCGUGGGUGAAGAAGGCCUUCGGGUUGUAAAGCCCUUUUGUUGGGAAAGAAAUCCAGCUGGUUAAUACCCGGUUGGGAUGACGGUACCCAAAGAAUAAGCACCGGCUAACUUCGUGCCAGCAGCCGCAGUAA
rnacentral:rRNA from 1 species